rnacentral:rRNA from 1 species
GUGGGAAAUCUUGCGCAAUGGGCGAAAGCCUGACGCAGCCAUGCCGCGUGGAUGAUGAAGGUCUUAGGAUUGUAAAAUCCUUUCACCGGUGAAGAUAAUGACUGUAGCCGGAGAAGAAGCCCCGGCUAACUUCGUGCCAGCAGCCGCGGUAAUACGAAGGGGGCUAGCGUUGCUCGGAUUUACUGGGCGUAAAGGGCGCGUAGGCGGACAUUUAAGUCAGGGGUGAAAUCCCGGGGCUCAACCUCGGAACUGCCUUUGAUACUGGGUGUCGUGAGGAUGAGAGAGGUGUGUGGAACUCCGAGUGUAGAGGUGAAAUGCGUAGAUAUUCGGAAGAACACCAGGGGCGAAGGCGACACACUGGCUCAUUACUGACGCUGAGGCGCGAAAGCGUGGGGAGCAAACAGGAUUAGAAACCCUGGUAGUCC